UUGCUUGAGUUUCUUUUGUACAUGUGAUGCAAGGAGCUAUGCAAACAUGGAUGGUGGAUAGGACCCGGGCUCAGGAUUUCAGGCAGCAGGGAACCAAGAUUAGGAGAAAGAUGUGGUUCCAGAACAUGAAGAUAAAGCUAAUCGUUCUGGGUUGCAUCGCUCAAAGAUAAGAUUAACCGCAUGUACAGUGGGGAACAUGCGAGUCAUUUUCCUCAAAUUCAACAGUGUCGCAGUCCACAACCAUAAACACAGUCAUGCUCCUUUCAGCUUUUAUCUCCUCUCUUUUUUCCCUUUCUUUCUUUCACUAUUUGGAGCAUUACCAAUUCUACAUUUUUUUCUUUACCAGCCUAUUUAAAACAGUAGUUAUUUAGAUUUUAGCAGUUUAGAAUCUUAUGUUCUUCUUGUUUCCUCUAUUGCAAUUUUACUUUUCUUCUUUUUGUUUCAUACUCUGUUCUUCUAAAUUAUAUAUCAAAUAGAAAUAAAUAAGGAUAUAAGUAAAAAAAUAUGUGUCAAUGUUCUCAACUCGAAGGUAACUGAUAUGCAAAUUUCGACAGCACUGAACUUGUAGAAAUAGCUUCUUUUUUAUAAUUUUGUGGAUAUU